AAUGAACGCUGGCGGCAUGCCUAACACAUGCAAGUCGAACGACAACAUAGGGAGCUCUCGCCCUUGAGGGUGGCGGCGGACGGAUGGGUGACGCAUACAUAGCAUACCACUUAGACUUGGGUGAUAACGUAGGACCACGUCCAAUGACAGAGCAUAUGUCGUACGGGGUAGAGCAAGAGUUCUACAUGGUUUUCGCGUUGGUAAUAGCCGAGGUCGGAUUAGCUAGUUGGCUGGGUAAAGGCCUACCAAGGCAACGAUGCGUAGCUGGUCUGAGAGGAUGAUCCGCCACACUGGAACUGAGACACGGUCCAGACUCCUACGGGAGGCAGCAGUAGGGAAUCUUGCGCAAUGGGCGAAAGCCUGAUCUAGCAAUACCGCGUGAGUGAUGAAGGCCUUCGGGUUGUAAAGCUCUGUUGUUGGGAAAGAAAAAAAGCAGAUUUAUCCGUGGAUGUUUUGACGGUACCCAAAGAAUAAGCACCGGCUAACUCCGUG
rnacentral:rRNA from 1 species